GUGGCAGCCGCCGCGGUAAUACGGAGGGUGCAAGCGUUGUUCGGAAUUAUUGGGCGUAAAGCGCGUGUAGGCGGUUUGUUAAGUCUGGUGUGAAAGCCCUGGGCUCAACCUGGGAAGUGCAUUGGAUACUGGCAAACUUGAGUACGGGAGAGGAUAGUGGAAUUUCGAGUGUAGGGGUGAAAUCCGUAGAUAUUCGAAGGAACACCGGUGGCGAAGGCGGCUAUCUGGACCGAUACUGACGCUGAGACGCGAAAGCGUGGGGAGCAAACAGGAUUAGAUACCCUGGUAGUCCACGCCGUAA
rnacentral:rRNA from 1 species